GGUGGCUCAGUAGUAGAGUGCUUGCCUUGCAUGCAUGAGGCUCUGGGUUCAAUUCCUCAGCACCA
rnacentral:tRNA from 1 species